CUGAAUGUGUGGCACAGCAGCUCCCUCAGGACAAAGCAGCUUCCACACCUAAAAGAGCCAACAGCCAGGGUUACCAUAACGAUAUCUGGGCAACAAGCGACGUCAGCUCCAGUAAGGAACCCUCUGUGGGAACAAGAUUAGAGGAUCCAAUCAGUGGUGACACUGAACCUGGCACCCAGUGGAAUGAGACACCAGGGAGGCCUAAUCAUCCCCAUGACUCCACUCAGCUGCAGCAGGCCAAUGAAAUCCCCUCCAGACUAAGCAGAUGGUCGAUAUCAUCUUCUUUCUUUUCUAGCACCUUGGAAGCAGCACAAAGACCAAGCCAGGAAAAGUCAGCCUUCUGAUCUCAAGAAAGCAAGAGUUAUACAAGCAAAAGGAAGUGCCGUGCCAGAAUUUAAGUGAAAAUGAUGUACUUGCAAUGCUGUGACCCCAUGUGAAUGUGCAUGUGACGCACUCUUUUGUUAACUGAAAGAUUACUUUGAAAAGGAGACGCAGCACAUACGCCAUCAUCCUUUUUCCCAGAAGCCAGGAUUAUUUGUGUCAUUUAAAUUUUGGCAGACUUUGAAAUAAUCUGGACAAAAGUCAACUGCUUUGCCAAGUCUAUUUUAAAAACAAUACAUCAUCCCUUUCGUGAGAGACGAUUACUUUCCAUCGCUAAUUAAAAGAAGAGGGGGGAAAAAAGUGAAUGGGGCGUGUUAAGGGAUAUUGAUGCAAUCACUGGAUCUAGCAGGGCCACUGGAGCUGGAUCAGCUGACUGGCCCUGCUCCUGAAAGCAAAUCAUAGCA